AGAGGAGCGAGCACGACAAGGCAAUGGAGAAUGGGAGGCAAUGCGAUGCUUUUCGCCGGUGCGCUGCCUCUUCUUCUAUUUAGCAUGGGGAGCAGUGGUGGCCUGCAGCAGUGGGCGGCCGAGGCGGUGGCCGGCAGCCGACGCUCCUCUCUAGUUCGACGGCCGGCGGUGGGCCGUAGCCGACGCUCAUUCUCUCUACCUAGCUGGCGGCGGAGGCGGUGGCCCGCAGCCGAUGGACAUUCUCUCAGAUUUUCUUCCUUCCAUUUGAUCUCUUCGUGAUGGCAACUUCCUCUAUUGUGAUUGGAGUACAAGAUCUAAUGGGUUCACAACUUCACAUGUUGUUCAUUCCUUUAGAAUAUUUUUCAUUUACACGGAUCUUACUUCAACCUGUGCAUUGAACUUUGAUUGCAAAUUGAUUUUGGAAUCA